CAAUAAGUGUUCAACAUGGCACUUUAAAAUCCAUUACCCAACCUUGUGUGCAAUGUAAGGAGGAGGGGGGUUUGUCAGACCUUUUUGGUCUGGUUUUCCCCUCUUUUCAUUAUACAUACCAAUCUUCUCUUGUUGUCUACUUUUUGAGUAUAAAAAACUCGAAUA
rnacentral:misc_RNA from 1 species